CUUCAUUUCACUCUACAUUUCUCCGACCAACCCAAGCCAAACACAACAACUCUAAUUACAGUGCGCUCGAAGCCUUGAAGUGGAGCCCGGGGAAGGCAACAACGUGACUCUGGGCACUGUAUCAGAAGAUGAAGAAGAUGUGGAAAUCAAAGUUAUUCGUAAUAUGAUGAAAGAACGCGAUAGUUAUCUGUUGUCUGAGCAAGAAAAUUCUUCAAACAUUAGGGGCACCGACGGCAUUUUUAGAGUUCCGCUGGCUCUGUGGAGAGCGAACCCAAAUGCUUUUAUUCCCCAAUUCAUCCCCAUCGGCCCUGUUCAUGGUUUUCAUAAUAGUUAUGGUUAUGAUCCGAUAAUUAGGAAAAUGAAAUUCUACUUUUUUCGAAAUUUUGCUUCUACAGAAGUCGAGUUGAAUAAGAUUGUACGACUAGUCAUAGGUUGUGAAAAAAGAGCUACCGAGUUUUACAAAAUAGACAUCAGAAUGGGCAGAGCCGAGUUUUUGGAGUCCCUAAUCUUGGAUUGUUGUUUCGUGGUCAUGUAUAUCCUCUCUUCUGUGGUCCCGUUGUUUCAGGACUUCGAAAUGUCGUCGUUUUCUUGGAGAUUCAACGAUGCAAUAUUCAGAGAUAUGGUACUCUUUGAAAACCAACUCCCUUUCUUCCUUCUCCAGUCUCUAUAUGAACUCUGCGCCUUCAAUAAUUAUCGAUCUAUACUUGGGGAGUUCUCUUUCAUUCAACUUACUCACAAAUUUUUUAUGGCUCGUGAAGGGAUUGGUUAUCUUGGAAAAGAUUUUAGGGUACUGCACGAGGAUAAAUUAGAAGUGAAUCAUUUUGUUCAUUUUCUAAGUUAUUAUAUGAACUCGUUGGACCACACAAGAUGGCGCGUCGGGCCUAGCCUCGCAAUUUGGCCACCCACUGCCACUGAGCUUUACGAUUACGGCAUUUCUUUCGAGAAGAAAUCACAUUAUUCUCAAAAGAUGUUUGAUGAACGUGCCGGCAUUCUCAGGCUGCCACACAUCAUAAUAAACGAGACUUUCGAAAGCAUGAUCAGAAACAUCAUAGCUUUCGAGCAUUGUCACCGCAAGAGACAGGUUGUAAGCAACUUUGCGAUAUUCAUGCGUUUCUUGUUAAACUCCGAUAACGAUGUGAUUUUGUUGAUUAAGGAGGGGAUUAUACACAACCAUUUGGAAAGCACAAAGGGAGUUACUAAAUUGUUCCACGACCUUUGUGAGAACGUUGUGGUUGAAACAAAUUUAUACAACUAUGAAUGUAAGAGAAUGAGAGAAUACGGCAAGCACCGCCGCCAUCGGUGGAUGGCUUCGUUGAAACGCGACUAUUUUAACACGCCAUGGGCUUUGAUCUCCUUCAUCGCUGCCGUCGUCCUGCUUUUACUCACUCUCAUGCAAACGGUGGUAGCUGUCCUCUCCAUGCCUAAGUGAACCAGCUCAAGAAGCACUGCUUUCACCCAAAUUUUACAUUAUGAACCAGGUUACUCUCUCAACCUCUUUUUGGUUUCAUCAAAGUACGAAUUCCCAAUCCCACUAUAGGCCAUUUAGGUUUUUCAAGCAAAAAUAAAAAAGGAGAGAAAUACAAGGCCUAAGUGUUGCGAACUUGAAGCCGCGUUUUUACAGACACGAAUUUCAGGAAGAAGCUGCAACUAAAGGCUUUUUCUAAGGGAGAAUCAUUAAUUUGUCUUCUUUAUUUUCAUUUUAUUUAUGUUUUGAUUAGGUUCUUUGUAA